AUUAAACGCUGGCGGCAGGCCUAACACAUGCAAGUCGAACGAGUGGCGGACGGGUGAGUAAUGUCUGGGAAACUGCCCGAUGGCGGGGGAUAACUACUGGAAACGGUAGCUAAUACCGCAUACCAUCGGAUGUGCCCAGAUGGGAUUAGCUAGUAGGUGGGGUAACGGCUCACCUAGGAGACGAUACCUAGCUGGUCUGAGAGGAUGACCAGCCACAAGGGAACUGAGACAAGGUACAAAAUCCGACGUGAGGCAGGAGGGGGGAAUAUUGCACAAUGGGCGCAAGCCUGAUGCAGCCAUGCCGCGUGUAUGAAGAAGGCCUUCGGGUUGGAAAGUACUUUCAGCGAGGAGGCGUUACUCGCAGAAGAAGCACCGGCUAACUCCGUGCCAGCAGCCGCGGUAAUAC
rnacentral:rRNA from 1 species